AAGGGAACAACUGGAAUCGAACCAAUAUCAUCACUUAUAAAAGUGACCACUCUAGCCUAUUAAGCUAUAUUCCC
rnacentral:tRNA from 1 species